rnacentral:rRNA from 1 species
UGCCAGCAGCCGCGGUAACACGGGGGGCGCAAGCGUUAUUCGGAAUUAUUGGGCGUAAAGCGCACGUAGGCGGAUUUGUAAGUUAGGGGUGAAAUCCCGGGGCUCAACCUCGGAACUGCCUUUGAUACUGCAGAUCUAGAGUCCGAGAGAGGUGAGUGGAAUUCCUAGUGUAGAGGUGAAAUUCGUAGAUAUUCGGAGGAACACCAGUGGCGAAGGCGGCUCACUGGCUCGAUACUGACGCUGAGGUACGAAAGUGUGGGGAGCAAACAGGAUUAGAUA